GGUACACGGGCGCUAGUAGUGUGCAGUGCAUGUGCAACGCACUUAUGGUACACAUCGUCGUUCACCAUCACCGCCACAGUCAGUGUGUUAAGUGUUGUUUACAUCGUUUAGAUAUUCCUUCAGCUCAUCGUCGUGUCCGUCAUCAGUUCCAGCUCUGCGCUAGUUAAACGUUCAACACUUACAGGAUCAACGAAUCAGUUCCAAAGUCAGUCAUUUAAUGCAAAACAAAGCACCGGUAUUGUGUGGUGUCGAAUGGGCAAAACUGUCAACAGUCGAUUGCAUUUCGUUGUCUCUUCCGUUACGAUGUCGUGCUAGGAGCUCUAUCAUCGCUGGAAAAAGUGCAUGUGGUGUCGAUAAAGAAAUAUGAAGUAGAAGGGUAUCAUCGCGUGUUUCAAAAAAUAGUUAUUAUUCCACUUAAAUCACUUGAAGGGAAAAGUAGUCAGGAUUGAAGUAUUCGAGUGAUAUGGGUAGCGGAUCAUCUAAGUCAGUUAAAAAGAGCCCCACUAAGCGCGGAGCAUCCCAUCAUCAUGGCCACAGCCAGCAGAAAUCUAGCUGGUCACAGGCUCAUAUGGUUAGCUCCAAACCAGCUGCACCAACCAAUUUGAACGUUAAUCACGCCCUGGGAACGGCACUAUCUUCCAGCAACGGACAACACCACCAUAAUUCGCCAAGUGCAUCGAGUUCAUCUACUCACCGAAGUCAUAAGCCGGCGGCACUUCCACGAACGACCGGACACGUAAAGGCCGCACAGAUCAACCGGAACCAGAACGCUCGGAAGAACCAACCAAAAUCGACGAAUGGCAGUGCCAUGAAUUCCACGAAGGCUUCUUAUGAUCGCAACAAAGAGUGUGGCGUGUGUGGUCACACCGGACAUCGUACGGACCGGUGCAACCAUCGAGGCAAGACUUGCAACAUUUGCCAUACGUCGGGUCACUUGGCAUCGGUGUGCAAGCAAAAAAAUCACCACCCGGAUAGUCGUUUUCGGCCUCGUAUUGCGAUUAAGUGAGAGAAGAGCGACGAGGCCGAGCUGCUCUCGACAAUGGAUCGAUGCACACCUCCACUGACUGGGUCAGUAUUGGCGUGUCAGCGAAAAUAAUAAACAUUGCCUUAUCAGAUCGAAUGCUUGGACCUGCCUGCGUUUUAGUUUUAAUAGUGUAGUAUUAGCCGGCGAGAGUGAUACACAGCUCUUACCAAACAUAAUCGAGGAAAUGAUUGUGGAGAUAUUAAUUUGGAUCAAGGCGAUAUUAUUAUGGAUCAAGGCGGGCAACACUCUUGGUAGGGGCGAAUGUUCAGUGUGCGGACAUCGUGGACACAAACCGUCCGUUUGUAAACACCGUCACCGGACCUGCGACGUGUGUGGUCAGGUCGGGCACAUCGCCUCCGUCUGCUCUACGAUUUUUGUUGGAGAAGACUCCAGAAUCAGUUCCUCUUAUGUGUUGUACUUCGUCGUCACGUGGAUUUCAUAUAUUUUUCAAGAUAAUGAACGACGGGAAUACCGAUGCCGAGCUUGCGGGCAGCCGGCUCACACUUCACGAUCGUGCCGUUACUCAAACCGUAGGUGUAAUCGAUGCCGGGUGAAGGGACAUAUUUCCGCUGCUUGUCCAGGCUACUUAUGGGUUAGAAGGAAUCGUUAAUACGUCUACUACUGCGUGUUCUUCUUUUUCAUAUGUUGGUGCUUGUCGUUUAACUCUAAAAAUUCUAUACAAAGUCAAUAAGAUCAAUAACUUCAUGUUGUACAAAUGAAAAAAUGCGCAGUGCAGUGUUGAACAUCAAUGAUCAAUUUGAAUAAAAAUUCCAAUAAUGAUA